UCGGCCACAUUGGAACUGAGACACGGUCCAGACUCCUACGGGAGGCAGCAGUGGGGAAUAUUGCGCAAUGGGGGAAACCCUGACGCAGCAACGCCGCGUGAGUGAUGAAGGUUUUCGGAUCGUAAAACUCUGUCUUUAGGGACGAUAAUGACGGUACCUAAGGAGGAAGCCACGGCUAACUACGUGCCAGCAGCCGCGGUAAUACGUAGGUGGCAAGCGUUGUCCGGAUUUACUGGGCGUAAAGAGUAUGUAGGUGGGUGCUUAAGUCAGAUGUGAAAUUCCCGGGCUCAACCUGGGAGCUGCAUUUGAAACUGGGCAUCUAGAGUGCAGGAGAGGAAAGUGGAAUUCCUAGUGUAGCGGUGAAAUGCGUAGAGAUUAGGAAGAACACCAGUGGCGAAGGCGACUUUCUGGACUGUAACUGACACUGAGAUACGAAAGCGUGGGUAGCAAACAGGAUUAGAUACCCUGGUAGUCCACGCCGUAAACGAUGAAUACUAGGUGUCGGGGGGUACCACCCUCGGUGCCGCAGCAAACGCAUUAAGUAUUCCGCCUGGGGAGUACGGUCGCAAGAUUAAAACUCAAAGGAAUUGACGGGGACCCGCACAAGCAGCGGAGCAUGUGGUUUAAUUCGAAGCAACGCGAAGAACCUUACCUAGACUUGACAUCUCCUGAAUUACUCUUAAUCGAGGAAGUCCCUUCGGGGACAGGAAGACAGGUGGUGCAUGGUUGUCGUCAGCUCGUGUCGUGAGAUGUUGGGUUAAGUCCCGCAACGAGCGCAACCCUUAUUGUUAGUUGCUACUAUUAAGUUAAGCACUCUAACGAGACUGCCGCGGUUAACGUGGAGGAAGGUGGGGAUGACGUCAAAUCAUCAUGCCCCUUAUGUCUAGGGCUACACACGUGCUACAAUGGCUGGUACAACGAGCAGCAAACCCGCGAGGGGGAGCAAAACUUGAAAGCCAGUCCCAGUUCGGAUUGUAGGCUGAAACUCGCCUACAUGAAGUUGGAGUUGCUAGUAAUCGCGAAUCAGCAUGUCGCGGUGAAUACGUUCCCGGGUCUUGUACACACCGCCCGUCACACCAUGAGAGCCGGUAACACCCGAAGCCCGUGAGGUAACCGUAAGGAGCCAGCGGUCGAAGGUGGGAUUGGUGAUUGGGGUGAAGUCGUAACAAGGUAGCCGUAGGAGAACCUGCGGCUGGAUCACCUCCUUUCUA
rnacentral:rRNA from 1 species